rnacentral:rRNA from 1 species
AACGAACGCUGGCGGCAGGCUUAACACAUGCAAGUCGAGCGCCCCGCAAGGGGAGCAGCAGACGGGUGAGUAACGCGUGGGAACGUACCUUUUGGUUCGGAACAACUCCGGGAAACUGGAGCUAAUACCGGAUAAGCCCUAACGGGGAAAGAUUUAUCGCCGAAAGAUCGGCCCGCGUCUGAUUAGCUAGUUGGUGAGGUAACGGCUCACCAAGGCGACGAUCAGUAGCUGGUCUGAGAGGAUGAUCAGCCACACUGGGACUGAGACACGGCCCAGACUCCUACGGGAAGCAGCAGUGGGGAAUAUUGGACAAUGGGCGCAAGCCUGAUCCAGCCAUGCCGCGUGAGUGAUGAAGGCCUUAGGGUUGUAAAGCUCUUUUGUCCGGGAAGAUAAUGACUGUACCGGAAGAAUAAGCCCCGGCUAACUUCGUG